GCCGUGCUGCGCGAGCAGCUGCAGGGGCUGCUGGAGGAGGAGGAGGAGGAAGGGCAGGAGAAGGAGGACGAGGAGCGGGAUCCGCCCCGGCACCGGGAGCAGCCCCAGAGGAAAACCGAGAAACAGCGGCGCCGCGAGAAGGAGCUGAGGGAGAAGCUACGAGGAUCCCGACCCCGAGGUGCAGCUGAGCGAGGAACUGCCCGAGUCCCUGAGGAGCCUCCGGCCCGAGGGGAACGUGCUCAGGGAUCGCUUCAAGAGCCUCCAGAGGAGGAACAUGAUCGAGCCGCGCCUCAGGGCCAAGUUCAAGCGGCGUUACCGGGUGAAAUACGUGGAGAAAAGAUCCUUCCGGGAGGUGACGUGAGUCCGGGGGUCCUGGGGGGGGACCCCGAAAUCUGGGACCCCCCCUGACCCCCGAUCCAAUU